rnacentral:lncRNA from 1 species
UUGAGGUCGGCCGCGGUGGUGAGUGGUGUGGCGGCGGCCUGGGCACAGGCCAGGGUGGCCCAAGGUCGACAAGAGGAGGCGAUGCGUACGGGUAUAAUUUUUGCAAUGAAUCGUUUUUUCCUUUUGCAUUGCAGAUAAAUGAUGGAGCGCGGGUUGAAUAACCAAAAUUACAGGGUUUUUUUUAUAAAAAUGCCGCGGUGGGUUUUUCGACGGAAGCAAUAGCCGCUUUAUUAUUAGGUAUAGAUUAAGGAGAGAUAAGGCAUGUGCGCGCGAGUGUAUGGAUUCAUGCAUGAUUUAACUGCUCUUUUCUCUGGAUACAGUGGGCAAACAAGCUGACUUCGUUGAAGACCUUCCUCACUUGAAGCAUUGGCUGUUCGUCUUAGUUGCAGCAAUUGCCAUAUUUUUGCAUGGCCUCAAUACUCGAUGUUUGCAAAUCGAUGCAUCAUAUCGACGCAUCAUAGCCAAACAGGAUUGCUUACAUCAACACACAAGUUCGUUGGCUUCAAUUAAUGUGCGCAAAUCUUCGAAGUCAUUGAGUAUGUACUUCAAGCACUGAUGUGCGUGUUCUGCUUGUAAUAUCUCGGCACCAUGAAUCUGUAAAAAUUAGUGUGUAAUGGGUACGCUGGCCAGAUGUUAUAGACGAGGGCUAAUGUGUUGGAACUCGGUCCACUCGAUCCCAUCAUAUCACGAUAAACACGUGCAUAAAAAAUCUUGUAGUCAAAUGUCCUUGUCGUACCUUAAUUUUCCUUUUUUAUUUUUUUAUUUUCUCUCAACUCAUGAUAUUACAAGAAUCACGACAGACUCAAGUAUAUAUAGAAGCUA